AACUUUUAUUUGAAACGGCCUCUAUAUUACAUAACAGACAUUGAAGUAGUUUCUUACUGAAGUCAUACACAAAUCGGUCUUUACUCGCAUUUAUUUUUUUUAGAUUAAAAUCCAAACUAGUGGUCAUCCCAAAUAACCGUAAAAAUUAAUGCCCAAUUUUAAAUUUCCGGUUUGAUAAUAUAACCUAUCUACAGUAUAUAUCGUUAACAUGAUAUCGUUCAAAUAACGAAUGAAAUAUUUUGCACUGGACGUUAUUUCUCUUGUUCGUGUGUCUUUAGUGACGCUCGUAGCCUAAAAUUUAUCAAAAAUUAGAACUGUUAAAAAAAGAUGGGAGGUCAAUUCGACUGAAAGCCCGGGCCCACCGUGCAAUAUUCUGAUUAAUAUAAAAGGCAUCAUCGGAGUUUAUUAGUAUAAAAUAAUUUACAAAGUAAACGAUUAAUUCAACUGUACUAGAAUUAUUUGUAUGUUCGCUUUAAAUGAGCAUGAACUACUUGCAACUGGACA
rnacentral:lncRNA from 1 species